CUUUGUUGCUUGCUUUGUCUCAAAUGACUUCAGUAAGCAACUUUUGAGAAAAGAGUCCCAGUGAAGAGAUGGUCAGAUGAAAGCAGACUACAGAGGGUUAAAAUCUGGAACAUCUGGGAUGUCCGCUUUCUGUCUGCUUCAAUGCCAAGAGGCUGGGGAAUUCCACAUUGUUGAAGCAUCUGGGAUCACUGAGGAAGAACUCGUUUUACAUAUUCGCAACUCCCAGUCUGAAGAUGCUGCGGUCCUUCUAGAAUUAUGGUUCAACUAUAAAGAAGGCUGGUUUCGUCACUUGGAAGCCAGGGAACAAGUUUGGAAAAGAACCUCUCACCAGGUCUCCGCUAUUAAAG
ensembl:lncRNA